rfam:Apaloderma vittatum contig70658, whole genome shotgun sequence.
GGCCGGUUAGCUCAGUCACUUGAGCAUAGCGCUAACAACGCUAAGGACGCGAGUUCGAUUUCCGUUUGGUCA